GUCUUCAUGGCUCAGUUGGCCAGAGCGUUAGUCUCAUGUUUAUAUGAUCCAAUUAGAGAUUGGGACAUUCAAAGGUUAUGAGUUCGAGCCACACCGAGGACA